rnacentral:rRNA from 1 species
UACAGAGGUCUCCAGCGUUGUUCGGAUUCAUUGGGCGUAAAGGGUGCGUAGGCGGCGCGGUAAGUCGGGUGUGAAAUCUCGGAGCUUAACUCCGAAACUGCAUUCGAUACUGCCGUGCUUGAGGACUGGAGAGGAGACUGGAAUUUACGGUGUAGCGGUGAAAUGCGUAGAUAUCGUAAGGAAGACCAGUGGCGAAGGCGGGUCUCUGGACAGUUCCUGACGCUGAGGCACGAAGGCCAGGGGAGCAAACGGG